UACGUAGGGGGCUAGCGUUGUCCGGAAUCAUUGGGCGUAAAGAGCGUGUAGGCGGCUCGAUAAGUCCGCUGUGAAAGUCCAGGGCUCAACCCUGGGAUGCCGGUGGAUACUGUCGGGCUCGAGUCCGGAAGAGGCGAGUGGAAUUCCUGGUGUAGCGGUGAAAUGCGUAGAUAUCAGGAGGAACACCGGUGGCGAAGGCGGAUCUCUGGACCAGUUCUGACACUGAUGCGCGAAAGCGUGGGUAGCAAACAGG
rnacentral:rRNA from 1 species